AUUGCUAAUGCAUCAAGUACGAUUACUCGGCAGCAGUCGGUUAUAUGGACUGUAAAUUUCAGUUUUAAAAUUAGAUAGGAUGUACGUGUAUGGAAUAUACUUCAACUGUUGUUAAUGAUGAGUUUUUUCCUGAAUAUUAUCAGUGAAUUACAACUCUGAAGUUCGGUCUAUCGUCGGAUAGCCCAUGGAAGACGUGUAUUGCAGACGAACACAAGUUACGAAUUUCCUCUGCCAUAGUUACUCAAUGUUCUUGGAUAAUGUUCUUGGGCAAAUUACAAAAGAGUGGUUAAGCGAAUAAUAAUCUUACCUUGGAUUAUGAGGCCUCCGACCUCAACUCCUCCCCCGAUCCCAAUAAAGUUGGGGGAAUCGUAGUGGAUAUCUAAUAUUUUUUGCGACACCGGAUCAAUUGGCUGAGGAGGCGGACCGCCCCCGGUUUUGACACGAUGAAACAGAUACCAGACAGAUGGGUUGCCCUCGAGCAGUGAAUGGGAAAGAAAACUGAUGCUUGUAAUAAAGAAGAUUAAUUAAUAGAAA